UGGUGGAGUGAUUUGUCUGGUUAAUUCCGUUAACGAACGAGACCUCGACCUGCUAAAUAGAUGGGUGAUACAAUACGUAUCAAACCUAGCUUCUUAGAGGGACUUUGGGUUAGUAGCCUAAGGAAGUUCGAGGCAAUAACA
rnacentral:rRNA from 1 species